rnacentral:tRNA from 1 species
GGUGGCUCAAUGGUAGAGUGCUUGCCUUGCAUGUAUGAGGCUCUGGGUUCCAUUCCCCAGAACCA